UACGUAGGCAGCGAGCGUUGUUCGGAAUUAUUGGGCGUAAAGGGUGCGUAGGCGGCGCGGUAAGUCGGGUGUGAAAUCUCGGGGCUUAACUCCGAAACUGCAUUCGAUACUGCCGUGCUUGAGGACUGGAGAGGAGACUGGAAUUUACGGUGUAGCGGUGAAAUGCGUAGAUAUCGUAAGGAAGACCAGUGGCGAAGGCGGGUCUCUGGACAGUUCCUGACGCUGAGGCACGAAGGCCAGGGGAGCAAACGGG
rnacentral:rRNA from 1 species